rnacentral:rRNA from 1 species
CCUACGGGUGGCAGCAGUGGGGAAUCUUGCACAAUGGGCGAAAGCCUGAUGCAGCAACGCCGCGUGAGUGAAGAAGGGUUUCGGCUCGUAAAGCUCUGUUAGUAGUGAAGAAAGAUCAAGGUAGUAACUAGCCUUGAUUUGACGGUACUUGCUUAGAAAGUCACGGCUAACUACGUGCCAGCAGCCGCGGUAAUACGUAGGUGGCAAGCGUGGUCCGGAUUUAUUGGGCGUAAAGCGAGUGCAGGCGGUUCAAUAAGUCUGAUGUGAAAGCCUUGGGCUCAACCGGAGAAUUGCAUCAGAAACUGUCGAACUGGAGUGCAGGAGAGGAGAGUGGAACUCCAGGUGUAGCGGUGGAAUGCGUAGAUAUAUGGAAGAACACCAGUGGCGAAGGCGGCUCUCUGGCCUGUAACUGACGCUGAGGCUCGAAAGCAUGGGUAGCGAACAGGAUUAGAUACCCGAGUAGUC